AAGAGAUAACUUGAUAACAGCAGUAACUCCUCUGGCUGUAGCUAGCAGGUCCACAAUUGAUCUCAAUAAGAAGAAUGAAGACAUCCAUUGGAGCAUUCCUCAUGUUCUUUUGGCUGCAGCUGGACUGUAUCAGCCGAGGAGAAAAAGUGGAUCAGCAUCCUUCUACCCUGAGUGUCCAGGAGGGAAACAUCUCUGUCAUCACCUGUUCUUAUUCAGACAGUGUCUUAAGCUACUUUCCGUGGUAUAAGCAAGAAGCUGGAAAUGGUCCCCAGUUCAUUAUACACAUUCGUUCAAAUGAGAAUGAAAAGCACCAUGAAAAACUCACCGUUUUAUUGAAUAAGACAGCCAGACAUUUCUCCCUGCACAUCAAAAACACCCAGCCUGGAGACUCAGCUGUGUACUUCUGUGCAGCGAGUACACAUUGCCUUCCAAGCACCUGGAUCCUGUACACAAACCUGUCUCUUAGUGGAAACUACUGUGUUGUAUGUUGAAAACACUUAAUAAAAAGGUUAGUUUCAAGGUGACCAAGAAAGUGUUAGAACAUUUUGUUGGAAAAACUGCUGCAUAAUGAAUUAUUGAAGUCAGUUAGUAAUGUUUAAUUUUAAAAUCUAAGCUUUAAUGAUUAUUUUAUAUUUACUGUACAAACUCCUGUCCCACUAAAAUACCCUUAUCAUCAGUAUCACAAUCCUUAUUAUGGUUGGGUUGUUAAUAUUGUGCUUU